GAUGAACGCUGGCGGCGUGCCUAAUACAUGCAAGUCGAGCGAACGGACGAGAAGAUUGCUUCUCUGAUGUUAGCGGCGGACGGGUGAGUAACAAGUGGAUAAACUACCUAUUAGACUGGGAUAAUUACGGGAAAACGGAGCUAAUACUGGAUCAUAUUUUGUACCGCAUGGUUCAAAAGUGAAAGACGGUCUUGCUGUCACUUAUAGAUGGAUUCGCGCUGGAUUAGCUAGUUGGUAAGGUAACGGCGUACCAAGGCAACGAUGCGUAGCCGACCUGAGAGGGUGAUCAGCCACACUGGAACUGAGACACGGUCCAGACUCCUACGGGAGGCAGCAGUAGGGAAUAUUGCGCAAUGGGCGAAAGCCUGACGGAGCAACACCGCGUGAGUGAUGAAGGUCUUCGGAUCGUAAAGCUCUUUUGUUGGGGAAGAACAUAUGUAGAAGUAACUGUGGAUAUCUUGACGGUACCUAAUCAGAAAGCCACGGCUAACUUCGUG
rnacentral:rRNA from 1 species